AUGCAGUUUAUUUACACAGUGUAAACCUACCACCUCUCACCAUAUAUUGCUGGGGGUUCCAGCCUUAGGGGCUUUACUUUCUUGCAGCCAGGAGGGAAUAGCAACCCCUCUCCUUCCACUCUCUGGCUUCCCACUCCCCUCCCUUCCUCUCACUGAGCCUGUAUAUAGCCCCAGGCUAAUCAGCCUGGUAGCUCUUUCACCUCUGCCAGUCAGGUUCCUCGAAUCAACUCCAAUUCACCUCCCUUAAUUGGAAUGGAGUGACAGAGGGCUGGCUCAGCAGUUCCUGGUCAGCACCCUGUCACAGGUACCAUUCAAGGGGAAGUGGCCCAUUAACACCUGUACAGUCAUAGGACAAAAAAGAGGAAGUAGCAUAUUACAGAUUGUUAUAAUAAACCAUAAAUCCAGUGUCUUUAUUAAGGCCAUGGUUUUUAGAGUGUAGCCAAGUUAUGAAUUUAAGCUCCAAAGCUUGUCUUUUGAAGGUGUUGUGCAGGUUUCCUUUGAGGACGAGGACUGAGAGGUCCUAUAUGGAGUGAUGGUUUUGUGAGAAGUGAUAUGGUGCGAAACGGUGUUUGUCUUCUAUAAUUUUUCUGUGCGAGCUAGUUUGAGAGUAUAGUGAUUGUCUGUCUGGUUUCACCCACAUAGUUGCUUUUGGGGCAUUUAGUGCACAGACGAGAUACACCAUGUGUUGUGGUAGGUGUGCAUAGGAUCCAUGUUCACCAUAUAAUUUUCCAAUAAAUUUCCACAGAAAAAAGAAACUUUUUUCUAAAAGCCAGUUAUUAGCUUAU